GGACGGACAGUCGGCAGGCCCCUCUCCUCCAGGAAGCGCAGCCUGAUUCACAGCUGUCUGUGAGUGCGUGCGUCCCCAGUACACGUACACGAGCUGCAUGACAGCGCGAUGCCUCAAGGCCACCACGUUCGGCCUCAUCUGAACCCGCGACCUUCGACACAUACACAGACCCCAGAGGCAUUGGGCCUGCGGCUUAGCCUUGGAAGACAAAAGGUUCCUAUGGCCACGGAAGUGCAUACGCCCCCUACGCAGCCGGAGUAUAUGACCUUUGAGGAUGUGGCCGUGUACUUCUCGAGGGACGAAUGGGACCUCCUUGAUGAAGAUCAGAAACUCCUGUACUGCGACGUGAUGCUGGAGAACCUCGCGCUCAUGACCUCUCUGGGUAAGGCCCUCACGUCUGCCCCAGUGCCUUGGGUGAGGCGUUGCCUUUGCUCUCUUCCCCAGACACAGCUGCAGCCUCACAUGGGGACCCUAGGGACUGCCCCAAUUUUCUUUUUCUUUAUUUUGAGCAGGGUGAUAGAUGUAGGCUCACUGUUUUCUAGGACAGAGCUAUUGUACUGUCCUACCAUUUCCCCAAGCACCCCCAGUAGCUGCUGCCCCAAAACCUUUCAGUGUAGGGGGUCAGGAGUCUUGCAGUUGGAUUUUUGGAUGCCACGUUUCUCUCCCUGGCCAGGUGACCCCUCCAUCCCAGGUUCCACUCCCUUCCUCGAGCUGGCGUAAACACGUCUGCUUGAGUCAAGAAUGGCCAUCAGCAACAUGGUCACUCUUUGUGUCCUUCAAUGAGACUCCCUUUGUAAUAUUUGUUUUAAGAUUUUUUUUUAUUUAUUUGAAAGAGUUAAAGAGAGGCAGAGAGAGAGAGAGAUCUUCCAUCCACUGGUUCACUCCCCAGAUGGCCGCAAUGGCCAGAGCUGGGCCGAUCUGAAGCCAGGAGCUUCUUCCAGGUCUCCCACAAGGGUACAGGGGCCCAAGGACCUGGGCCAUCUUCCACUGCAUUCCCAGGCCAUAGCAGGGAGCUAGAUGGGAAGUGGAGCAGCCGGGACUCGAACCGGUGCCCAGAUGGGAUGCCGGCACUGCAGAUGGCUGCUUUACUCACUAUGCCACAGUGCCGGUCCCCCCUUUUCCCACUCUUGACACUUUGUCAGUUUGUCAUUUUUGUGAUUUUUGGCCUGGGGCUAAUCCUGAGCUCCCUUGGUCCCACAUCUCCUCCAUAUCUGCCCACUGCUCCCUCUCACAGUUUCCCCCCGCACGGGCUCACACAUACUGUGCUAUGAGAUGCACACAUAUCCGUAAGGUAUCUUUGAACGUGAGCUCCUGUGUUUGGAAGUUGGGUUUCCUCGGGCCUACAGUCUUCUACACAGCCACCCACGUGUCAACACAAGUUCUGCAGACCUCUGACAGGGGGUCAGCAUAGACCCUGCGGCUCCUCUUCGUGCUGCGCUCCGUCCUCUGUGCUCUGCCCGCUGAGGCUUGUCCCGAGCUGUGACUCUUGGAAGACCAUCACCGAAGGGCAGCUGCUUCCUCAACCUCACCCAGGCCUCCUCCUCCUGAAAACAGUCCCACGAGCUCACACGGACCUGUUCACUGGUGCACAGACGGACACUGGGAGGCCGCUGCACCCUCUCGUUCAAGUCCACAUGCACCUCACUGCAUUUCUUUGCUUUCAGGUUACUGGUGUGGAGCGGAAGACGAGGGAGCGCCGGAGCAGAGCGUUUCUGUGGAA
ensembl:lncRNA